UCCUCCAUGUCUGCCGUCUGUCUCCGCAAUCAGCUGAAUGUGGAUCAGCUCUCAUGUGGACCAGCACUGACAGAAAAGAUGGAUGAAGCAGCAAAACAUCUAUCCAAACUGUGUGUUCAGACAGAACAUGAAGUGAAGUUUAGAGUCUGCUCGAUUGCAUAUAAGCAGGCCUUGUUCCCUCAGACCACAUAGAGGUUGAAGACACCACUGAAGAUAACAGGCUGGUUUUGAAGAGAUCUUCUGUUGGAAGCAGAGACAUUGUCUGUCCACCAUCUCGUCUGUUGUCAUUCAUCCGCAUCUCAACCGCUGUCUAACCGUCCUCCCAGGAAGUCUCCAUCUCCACCCAACCAUCAGUCAUCACCCUGGACCUUCCUGUGGUACAUUCAGUGUAGACGAGGGUGGUAGGACAUUUUGAUCGCUCUCAUUAAUUUUCAUUUUAUUUUCAUUUAUUUCCUUAUUCAUUGAACUUGGUUAGAAGAGAAGCAUUUAAUGUGUACAAGGCUUUUGGUUUAUACACUUAGUGUGAUUGCAGAACAAGAAUGUCAUUAUUUUUUAUGCUUGUUGGAGGGUAACCUGGUUGCUGGUAAUACAUUUAAUUUCCUUCCAAUAUAUUUUUAGCUAAAAAAAGAACGUGUAUUUGUGUGACUUUAAAUUGACCAAUUGAAUAUAAUACACUUACCUUUACAAGA